AACUCACAAACCGCAAGAUCAUGACCUGAGCCGAAGUCGGACGCUUAACCGAUUGAGCCACCCAGGUGCCCCAAAUCCCACUCCCUUCUUAUAGGAUUAAGAUUCUGCUGCAUUCUACCACCAGGGCAAUAACGUGAGCUACUCCCCAACUCUGAACGAGUAUCUUCAGUGAAGAUACUACCAUGGGAGGUGAGUAGAAAAGGUGUGGAAUUUGUUCAAGUUCAGCCCUGCCUCCCGAUGAGGUCUCUCCUCCGCUCUGAGGUGUGCCCAUGUCUCGUUCUUCCUGUGACCCUCCAGCGGCCAUCUGUCGGACAAAACGUGCAGGUUUGCGUCUUCAUACUUCACCAUAUCUCCUUAGUUAUGAGUUAACGGUGUACAAGAUGGCUGAGGCAAUGUUCAGGGCUGGUGUGUCCAGACUUCUGUAGGCUCAGGCACUCUGAAUCAAAAUAGACUUCACCCACACCAUUCAGCAAUUACACCCCACACCGAAUGCUGUUUUAUGUUUGCAAGAAUUUCUUCAUGGAGGCAAGGAGUUUGUCUUUUUUUUUUGUUCAAGGUUGAAUCUCUCGCACCUAAAACGACACCUGCUGGGCAGACCAUCAAUCAAUGCUUGUUGACUUGAAGAAUGACUGGCUGAUUCAAAAUGCAGAAGUAGGGGAGAAGGAAGCACAUCCAAGGGAAGCUACGGAGCUUUAAAGAAUAUAUUAGGAGUUCAAAGCAGCCAGAGACUGAGAUGAGAAAAGUAGCUGCGGACGCCUCAACGGAAGUCGGGCUAGAAGGAAUCGAUUUGUAGAGCCGCGCGAUCACAGAAAAAAACUUUCUUGUAGCACAAUUUAUGAUAAAUGGUUCAAACAGAGGAACGUAAGUGCUUCCUGGAAAAUCAAAGUGCCUAGCCCCCAGAAUUGGCAACGGAGCCCUGGGCAGCCCCAGAUUUGUUGUCAUGUGCUCCUGGGUGAGUAGAAAUAAAACGGUGGAAGAGAUUUUAAAUGUAUCUGCAGGAUUUGGGUCUGAAUUACAAUUUGUACUAUUCCUAAGACUUGACUAAGCUCAUUUUCCCCUCCAAAUCUCUAGAGAUGGCCACACCAUAGCCACUUUUAAUGUCUUCUGACCUUUCAACCAGGAAAUUAUUUCUAAUUCUAACUCGAGUCCAUUCAGCUCUAGGUUCAGCCUUGGCAGAACCUAAGGUCACAUGAAGCCUUGCUGAUUUUGUCUCUCUCUGACCCCCACCUCACUGGCCUUGACCCAUCUUCAGGUUAGUUCUGGGGUACCUGCUCAUCCCCAGGAGGAAUCCUGUAUCUGGGUAGGUGCUACACCAAAGCAAGAGGACCACAUUAGGGGCAGGUAAGUCAGAAGCUUCUUGGUUUCUUCCUCCGGGCAGGAGGCUCUCAGCAGGCCGGGGUUUCCAAGGGGGACAUUGCUCAGCUGGGGACAGAAGACUCGGGACCACCAACUCUCCCACCAAAGCAAGGCUUGCAGUGUCCCACAUCGACUCAGGGGCCCUCCAGACCCACAUGGGGCAUCUCCUGAGAGACACAGAAUGAAGGGGACAGGGGACAGACAGAGCCCAAAGACUGGUGCAGACAUGCCUUUCCCUCUCUCCCCAGGGCAAGUGGCUCUACGGCCGUUUUGCAGGAAUGAUCUCUGACAUCUGCGUGCAGUCGCCAAGAAUUUACCCUACUCAUCUUCUCCCGUAAAAGAGAAGAAUAGAAGUAUUAGAAUAGAUGUGUGUGCGUGCAGGUGUGUGUAGGUUCAGGGAAAGGUGGGUACAUGACUCCAUCUGCAUGGAUUUCAUUUGAAUACUGCCCUUCACCUUGUGUAUAGAAAUAAUGGGCCAAUUCAUAUAAAUUGGCGAUAUUUUUUCCUCAAUAAAUAAGAGAGUGUUCGUAAUAUUUAGAAUAUUUGUGCCUGGGGAGAAUACAAGAAUUUUUGUGCCUGGGGAAAAUCGAGGCUCAGUAGAUCUUACUGAGCCAAGGGACAUUACAAAAUAAAAUAAAUAAAUAAAAGCAACUCCUUCUUCCUGUUCUCCUGCAGCGAGGAGUAUGUCGCCCUCCAGCCGCGUACGUGUGGGGUUCAGAAUGGGUGUUUGCCGGCACGAGUCUGGGCCCGGUGCCACUCUUGGUAACAUUUAUAAACUUUGGAGAUUCUCGUUUCACUCACAGAGUUUCCGUUUCCUCGAAUUUUGCAGAAAACUGUGGGCAUUUUUAUUGUCAUGGAGAACCCGCUCUAGUUCCCCGUUAGCGGUAUUGAGAACAAAGGACUACUGACAUCCACAUUUUCUUCAAACUACCACAUGGACGAAGAUCUGCCGGUGCAUCUGGAACAAUCAGAUUAGCAGCCUGGAGACACUACUUCCUCCCAGAGAUUCCACUGUGCUCAAAGAAUGGAGGGUGAUUUUAGUUUUGCACAGACCAAAAGAAACGUUUCAAGGUCACGGCAGGUGCUUUGUCAGGCAACCCCCCGUGAGGAGGUUAAUGGUAUAAAAAUUUGAGGAGAGGACUUAAAGAGAACUUUUAGGUUCGGGGUGUGUUUCAGAGAGAGGAAGGGUGGGAAGAUGGUAAAGAGGACUGGGUUUGAAGGAUAGACAUUAUUAUUUGAGUUUUCUUUUCUUUGAAGUUUGAGUUUUGAACAUGGGUGUGGAUGGAAUUAUAGACUUACUCUGAAUACAUUUAAAAAAUAAGAAUUGUUGGGGUGCCUGGGUGGCUCAUUCGG